rnacentral:lncRNA from 1 species
AGAUAUCGAUGAGUGCGAUCAUGACAUGCAUGACUGUGAUGGCAAUGCAACAUGUACCAAUACAAGAGGAGGUUACAACUGCAGCUGUGAUAACGGUUUCGGUGGCAAUGGAUCUGUUUGUGAAGGUGAAGUACAGUUGUCUUUUUGAAAUUGAUAGGCCCACUUUGUAUUACAAAUGAUUCUUCAUGAGGUUUAAAUCCACGUUAAAUUUCAUGUCAAAACUUUCCAAUUUCCGACCACUAGUCAUACUUUUAACAGCUUAAUUUUUUUAUGUGCAACUUUUAUGUUGCCAAAGGUUGCGUGCUUAAAUUAUGUUUAUUUGUGUGGUAUGGUAUGAUGGAUUUGAACAUCAAAGCAUAUGUUUGACCACAAGGUGGGAGUAGUAGGUUUUCAAUGUUUACGUCGUCUGCGCUCUAGUGCAGAAGAGCUAUUGCCAUAGUCCGGCGUCCGUGUCCGCGUCCAUACCAGAUGAUAAGGUUAAGGUGCCACUUUCAGUUUAAUAUUCUAUUCAUAUGUUUACCACUCGUUGCAAGAUAUGAUGUAACAGGUGAGGGAAAGGGGCGGAUUGUCGAACAAGACUUCAAAAUCAUAAGGUCAUUAGGUCAGCGUUAAGGUGCUAAAUAGUUGACAUUAUAAUUAUGGCUUUAUGCUCAUGAUCGGUGCUCUAGCAAGCUCGAUAAAGCCUAGUUUCCAUUUGGUCGUUAGUUGGCUGAUGUAAUAGAGUGUCAACAGACCUUUAUAAAACUCUGCAGUCAUUAAGAAUGAUUUGGAUAUAACACACAAAAAGACUAUUGAUUUUAGACUAUUUCACAUCUACCGCUUGUCGUGCCAGCGACAACUAACGACCAAAUGGAAACUAGGCUUAAUUGGAGAGGGGGGGGGAGCUCAUAUUCAUAUUUUCGUGUUCAAUCUCAUGGAUCAAUAUACUUCAUCAGGUAUCCAGUAUUAUCAUGUGAGCAAACUAAAGCAACAUGGUUUGAGAUGGCAUUGUCCCACAUGUGGAUAAACAUAAGCAAGCUGGAAAUUAUCAAAUGAUAGGCUUAAUGUUCAAGUGUUAACUAAUUAGCAUGAAAUUAUAAGUUUAGUGUUGAAAAGCUGGAUAUUAAAUUAUCUACAUUUGUUGAACAACAUUUUACUUUUGUUGCAUUAUUGUGCAACGUUUCAUAUUUAAAUGCAAAUCAAUGCUCGGCGUAUAGUGACUAAUGAAUAAUAAUAUACUGUAAUAUACAUUUCAUUUCCAUCUUUUCUUUUAAAUUUUUAAAAAAACUUGAAUGUUUUUACAGACGCAUGAAUUUGACUUGCAUGUGACUUUGAGUCUUGUAAUCGGGGUGUAUAUAGAUGCGGAUAAAGUAGCACGGGUUGCGGUUUGAAGUAGGGGACAGAAGUGGUAGUGUUAAAAGAGAAUGCGUUUUCCUUUUUAAACCCGUUGACUCCCUGCAGGCGAGCACUAGGUGACUUCAACACCUAUCUCUGGUAUAUAGUCUACUUGUCAUGAACAGUAUAAAUUUCGAGCCAACCAUAGUCUAUACAUGUAGUUAUAAUUNNNNNNNNNNNNNNNNNNNNAAGUGUUUGGAUCAUUCCAUCCAAACAUGGAAACCAUAAAGUAAUUGUUUUAUAAAAACAUGUGGAUAAACAUAAGCAAGCUGGAAAUUAUCAAAUGAUAGGCUUAAUGUUCAAGUGUUAACUAAUUAGCAUGAAAUUAUAAGUUUAGUGUUGAAAAGCUGGAUAUUAAAUUAUCUACAUUUGUUGAACAACAUUUUACUUUUGUUGCAUUAUUGUGCAACGUUUCAUGUUAUAUGUAAACAACGAGUUUGAGUGUUUCAUCAGGGGAUCCAAACACGAGAAAACUGUAUGAAACACGAGCGCGAAGCGCGAGUGUUUUAUUGUUUUCGAGUGUUUUGUCCCUUGAUGAAACACGAGAAACGAGUUGUUUACAUAACAUCUCAAACGAAAACAUUUCAUUGGCUUAUAUAUAUUAUUAUAGUAUAUUGUUGUGUUUUGACUUGAAUUUGUAAUUAGGAUCUCAGUUAUUAGAUGAAAACCGUUUUUCAUCUAACAACAGUGAUGGUAUAUGAUUUUUAGCGUGUUUCCUUGCGAUAUCCAACCUCAAUCAUGUAACGAAUUAGGGUGAGUUCAUUCGCUAAUUUGCUCAUGAAUUAUUAAUGAGUUCGAGAUAUUUAAAUGCAAAUCAAUGCUCGGCGUAUAGUGACUAAUGAAUAAUAAUAUACUGUAAUAUACAUUUCAUUUCCAUCUUUCCUUUUAAAUUUUUAAAAAAACUUGAAUGUUUUUACAGACGCAUGAAUUUGACUUGCAUGUGGACAGUACAACGGAUAAUUACGCGGAUUGCCGAUCCCACUAGAGUUACAUUCUCUAUAGUAGUAAUUUAGAACGUCUGGUUGUUUCUAUUUCCAAUUUUUAAAUAUGUUUUACCGCAGAUAUUGACGAGUGUGAUGGUGAAAAUGAUUGUCAUGACUAUGCCAAUUGUACAAACACUGUUGGCUCCUACAACUGCUCCUGUAAUGAUGGGUUCGAAGGCAAUGGUACAUACUGCCAAGGUAUAGGGAUGUAUUUAUAUUGUUUAUUUAUUUGUUCAGUAUCUGUCAAUGACAGGUUGUGCGAAGGCCCAGUAGCGUUCUCAACUGUAAAAAAGCGCGGAUUUAUAAUAUACGUAUUCUCGUCCUUUUAAUAUUGUUGGGAUUUUAUUUGUUUCUCUAACGCAAUUCCAUGGCAAACCCGACAGAAUUUGUUGGAAUUUUAAACUUUUUAACGUUAUUUAUAUAGGGUUAACUCCUUCCGGAAUUAAAUCACUUGAUUAGCAUAAAUGUGAUGAUGACAUGUAAUCAAUGUGAUCAUAACAAACACAUCUUUUGUGUUUUUCGUGCUUGUGUUUCGACGUUUUUCGGUUUUCAGAGAACAUCCUGAAUUGAUUUAGCUGUAUCUGGUUGCGGGAACUUACAAACAUUAGAAAGUCAAUGAAAUAUUUUAGAUAUCGAUGAGUGCGAUCGUGACAUGCAUGAAUGUGAUGCCAAUGCAACAUGUACAAAUACAAGAGGAGGUUACAACUGUACCUGUUAUAACGGUUUCAGUGGCAAUGGAUCUGUUUGUGAAG